CUUGAAAACGAAAAUUUGAACUGCUGCCAAAAGCAGGUGAAAAUGUUCCACAUAAUCUUUUCGAAUUUUCUACAAAAAAGGGCUCACUUUGCAAUACCAAUUUCUGUGACUGUUUUUGGACAUAAAUUACUGUGGGAAGAUUUUUCAGUAUAA